GGCCCACAUUUCUCCUGAUCUCCGAUGGAAGCGUAGAAUUUACUCCACCAGUCCACCGUCUCUUUCUCCUUCCCUGCAUGCUGAAAU